GACGAACGCUGGCGGCGUGCUUUACACAUGCAAGUCGAACGGUGAAGGUGGAGCUUGCUCCGCCGGAUCAGUGGCGAACGGGUGAGUAACACGUGGGCAACCUGCCCCUAACUUUGGGAUAACUACUCGAAAGAGUAGCUAAUACCGGAUAUGAAGUCUGUAGGCAUCUAUGGAUUUGGAAAGUUUUUCGGUUAGGGAUGGGCCCGCGGCCUAUCAGCUUGUUGGUGAGGUAGUGGCCCACCAAGGCGACGACGGGUAGCCGGCCUGAGAGGGCGACCGGCCACACUGGGACUGAGACACGGCCCAGACUCCUACGGGAGGCAGCAGUGGGGAAUAUUGUGCAAUGGGCGAAAGUCUGAUGGAGCGACGCCGCGUGAUCGAUGAAGUGCUUCGGUAUGUAAAGAUCUUUUAUGAGGGAAGAAGUUUAUUGACGGUACCUCAUGAAUAAGGACCUGCAAAACUCGUGCCAGCCGCCGCCGUAA
rnacentral:rRNA from 1 species